GGAGCUGGAAAGGUGGAGGCGGAAGUGACUGAUCAAUUCAGGGGCGUGGGGUUCGUUUAGGUUUUGCCCUGUGUAUGACCUCGUUUGGAGCCAUGAAACCAGCCUCAAGCUUUAUUCUAGGAAGGUAAUUCUGAAGAUACCUAUCUUCUUGAGAGUGAAAUUUUAUGGAAUCCUAGAUUUCUCAUACCUAGGAAUAACAAUGAGCAAAGCAGACCUUGGUGGCCAGAGGGGAGCCCUCAGGUAGAGCUGCAGAUGCUGGCAGUUUGUGUUAGAAGGUUCCGGGGCUAAACAGAUGCCUAGAAUUAGCCACCAAAAGGUAAAUUGUAGACUCCACUCUUCAAGAAGCAGCAGAAGGAUUAGGAAUUCAAACAGUGCUAUUUUACGGUGGCUUUUCUACAAUAUAAAGAUGGAAAUGGGAAGAAGAUGUUCAUUGCAAAUUAAGGAAGCUCUUCCACGAGUUCACGAAUGGAAAUAACAUCAAGAGUUUUUCAUCUUCUUAGUGUGCAAGGUUAAAAUGAAUAAUGAAAGGAAAGGGAGAGCGUCUCUCUUUACAAUGCUGGAACAGAUGUCUUGAGUCUGCCUCCUGAUGACUUAAUUUAUGUCAUGUGCUCAGCCCUAAACCAAUCCCUGUGGCAGAAGUGAAGUGGCUGUGAAAAGAACUGGGGGUAGUAUUGAGAAGAAAAGUAGAAAAUGACAGGUCAAAAUAUAACAAAUGUCCGCUACCAAAAAUAAUGUUUUCCUGUCAAUUUUUAAGCAUGUGUGUAUGGUUUCAAUGUAUUAUUAAAAGUAUGUGUGUGUAUACAUAUACAUAUAAGAAUCUAAUGUAUUCUAUAU
rnacentral:lncRNA from 1 species